rnacentral:rRNA from 1 species
GCUGUCGUCAGCUCGUGUUGUGAAAUGUUGGGUUAAGUCCCGCAACGAGCGCAACCCUUAUCCUUGUUUGCCAGCACGUAAUGGUGGGAACUCCAGGGAGACUGCCGGUGAUAAACCGGAGGAAGGUGGGGACGACGUCAAGUCAUCAUGGCCCUUACGAGUAGGGCUACACACGUGCUACAAUGGCGCAUACAGAGGGCUGCAAGCUAGCGAUAGUGAGCGAAUCCCAAAAAGUGCGUCGUAGUCCGGAUUGGAGUCUGCAACUCGACUCCAUGAAGUCGGAAUCGCUAGUAAUCGUAGAUCAGAAUGCUACGGUGAAUACGUUCCCGGGCCUUGUACACACCGCCCGUCACACCAUGGGAGUGGGCUGCAAAAGAAGUGGGUAGUUUAACCUUCGGGAGGACGCUCACCACUUUGUGGUUCAUGACUGGGGUGAAGUCGUAACAAGGUAGCCCUAGGGGAACCUGGGGCUGGAU